rnacentral:rRNA from 1 species
GACGAACGCUGGCGGAGGGGGGAACACAGGCAAGUCGAACGGAAAGGCCCUGCUUUUGUGGGGUGCUCGAGUGGCGAACGGGUGAGUAACACGUGAGUAACCUGCCCUUGACUUUGGGAUAACUUCAGGAAACUGGGGCUAAUACCGGAUAGGAGCUCCUGCUGCAUGGUGGGGGUUGGAAAGUUUCGGCGGUUGGGGAUGGACUCGCGGCUUAUCAGCUUGUUGGUGGGGUAGUGGCUUACCAAGGCUUUGACGGGUGGCCGGCCUGAGAGGGUGACCGGCCACAUUGGGACUGAGAUACGGCCCAGACUCCUACGAGAGGCAGCAGUGGGGAAUAUUGCACAAUGGGCGGAAGCCUGAUGCAGCAACGCCGCGUGCGGGAUGACGGCCUUCGGGUUGUAAACCGCUUUCGCCUGUGACGAAGCGUGAGUGACGGUAAUGGGUAAAGAAGCACCGGCUAACUACGUG